UACGGGGGGGGUAAGCGUUGUUCGGAAUUACUGGGCGUAAAGGGCUCGUAGGCGGCCAACUAAGUCAUACGUGAAAUCCCUCAGCUUAACUGGGGAACUGCGUGUGAUACUGGAUGGCUUGGAUUUGGGAGAGGGAUGCGGAAUUCCAGGUGUAGCGGUGAAAUGCGUAGAUAUCUGGAGGAACACCGGUGACGAAGGCGGCAUCCUGGACCAAUAUUGACGCUGAGGAGCGAAAGCCAGGGGAGCAAACGGG
rnacentral:rRNA from 1 species